AGUGGCAUGGUGUAUGGUGCACACGGGAUUCUCUUGCAGAAGUUAAAUUGUAGUGAUCCCGAGGUCCUCGUUCGGUUCGAGGUGCUGCUA